AUGGCGACGGCGGAGGCGACAGGCGAGGGCUUGGAGUUCCUAUCGGAUCCAGUUGACAGGUUUCCUCUGCUAGAUCUCGCCGCCGAUGAAUCGCUGCUAAGCGGCGGAGGCAACCAAACUUUCAUAUGCACGGCUACCGAAUCCAGUAUCGGUGAUGUGGGCGAUGCGACGGUGACAUUGGAACUAUAUUUGCAGAGCGAAUGCAAUGGAGUGGCUCUGUCGGCGCCGAACUCAGAGCAGUUGACGGGCAAAGACGAUCCUCAGGCGCCGGGCUGGACCAAGAGUCUGCUUGUUGGGCAUGCACCUGAAGUCCUGAAGAACGCCCUCCGUGUGCUGGCAGAAUGA
rnacentral:rRNA from 1 species